UUCUGAGUGAGCUGUUGCAACAUAUUCCUCAAAACAUUGGGAGAGCCAACCCCAGUUUGCUGUGAGACACCUGCCAACAAACCAUUCAAGGCAGGACUAUCUAUCACCUGAGACACAACACUAGAAGUACCAAACUGGGCAUCAGAACCUUGUUCUCCCAGUGGACUAUUCUCCAAGUUCCUGCAAACAGAUGAAGGUAUUUGACUUGAAUGUAUCUCAUUUGCACCCACCCUAUUUGUACCAGAGCUAAGAGAUGCAAGAGAUUGUAAUAGCUGUUGACCAGUCAUUCCAGUGUUCAGGUUCUCACAGACAGGAGUAUUGCUUGUUCCAAGAUCACCACUCUUCACCACCGAUUUUGGCUGACUGGUUUUCCUCUUGCAUUCCAAACUCCCCAUCGCUAAUCCAAGAGGAACAGCUUCAGCACCUUCUGAAAGAUCAUGCUUCUCACUGGAACUAGGGGCAUUUUCUGAAGUCUUUUUUGGCUUUAGUGAGGUUUCUCCAUUUGAACAUCCCACCGAGCAAGACGAAACAUCUUUUGAGCUCAAAAAACUCUCUGUCACCUCACCAUUACUUCCUCGGACAUGAUCAUCUUGAUUCUUUUGAUCAUGGCCAUCGAACAUUAACCCAGAUAAGGUCACAGAAGAUUCCCCUGCCCCAUUAAUCACUGUGCUAUUGUGUUGUUCACUGCUUACACCAUUGCCUGCACCAGAACUAACAGAGCCUGAUGUAGGCUGGCUGUCUCCUUGCAUGGUACCGACAAGACUUCUAAGUCGUGAAUUGACUUCAGCUAUUACAGAGGAUAAUGAUGUAGAAUCAGAUGGAGGCUGUGAAAUAGAAACACCUAGACCAGGUUGUGUGGCAUUUGAAACAGAAACAGUAACACCAGUAGAAUGUGACGGCACUGCUGCUGCAAUGACAUUUUGCACUGGUAGCAUCCGCACUGGGCCUGAACCACUAAAACCAGUACCAUUACCCCGUUCUCCUUGCAUCCCCUCCCCAUUACUUGCCCGGGCACCUAUGGUUGAUACAACCGGUGCCAGUGAAGUACCAGCAUGUACAUGGAUAUUUAUGUUCCUUGGGGCACUACCAAUGCCAACAUGACCAGAACUCAUGGGAUUUGAUUGUACAGAAGAACCACCAAAGAGGGAAUUGGUUUGUA
rnacentral:misc_RNA from 1 species